UGCGUACCUUGGAAAUGUAAGAAAUUGUAUUUAUUACUCGUUUGUUAUUUCAAGUAUUAUGUUGUUUGUUAAUAUCUAUCAAUCACUGUUUUCUUUGUCAAUGUUAUGUAGAUUCACAAUCGAGGAGCUUCCUGGGAAUCCAGUCCAUAAGACAAAAUGACGAGAUAGAAAUCUUCUCAAUUGGAAAAACACUACGAAAAAAAUAGAGGCACUUACGAUCCAAGUUGACAGAAGAUAGAAGACGUCCCCUGAGCAUCUGCAACACACUCUGCGCUGGCCUCGCAAAGGGCUCUUUCGGCGCAGCCUCGUUGACCUUCAUCUUCCGCACGACCAACGUUAUUAAAUGACUUCACUGACCUCAUGUAGCCCUAAAAUGAAAAUCGCGUUAAUCUCAGAACGGAUAACAACAGAACCUAGCUGCCAGGGAACGAUGAGAGAACGAGGUCUUCAACGCGUCCAGAAGAUUGAUCACUAUGCUAAUGAACUGUUUCGGAGAAAUUGAUCCAUUAAAUGCGUGUAAGAAUUAUAAUACUAGGCGAAAUCGACAGAGCAAAAGCAUUAUUCUACUCGUGGAAAGCGUACUUUUUAUUUUAUUUUAGCUUAUCGACGCUUCGUCAAUUCCUCCGUCGUUGAUUUUAAUAAAAUUUUUCACAUAAACUUCAUUAUAAAAUUUCGAUGUGAUAAAUAGACUGUGGAUUUUUGUG